UUGAGCACAGAAAUACAAUAAUUAUCUAGCUACAUUUCCCUGGUCCUCUCUUUCUGCGAUUGUUCAUUAUUCCUCUGCAUUGUGAAAUUAUUCGCUGAUUAUUUCAGUCAUCACGGUAUCAGAGCAAACUCAAUUCUGAGAGGAUUUCAAAAAAAAAAAUUGUGUCUUUUAAUAUAUUUGAGAGAUUUUUUUUUCUAAGUAUUGCUGAAAUCUGAAAAUCUUCUUCUGUUGUUUCUUUCUUCCUCUCAUCUCUCCUUCUUAAAUAUAUAUCUCUCCUCCUUUCAUGAAGAAUCAUGUCAAGAAUUCCUAUGCAAGACAUUACUAAUCCUCUCUUCUUGCAUCCUUCUGAUGGAGCAAGUUAUGUUCAAGUUGACCAACUGCAAGGAUCUUCUGAUUACAUAUCCUAGAGAAGGUCAAUGGGAAUCAACCUAUCAUCCAAAUGAAAGCAAGGCUUUGUUACAGGAUCAUUGAAGAGACCUGAUGAUGAUAAAGUGAAAGCUGAAAUGUGGGACACCUGCAAUGUUAUGGAUGAUGAAAAUAAUGGCGGAUUAGAGUAGCAAGCAUGCAUGAUACCUCAAGAAGCAUACAUGGAUAAUGGAAUUGAAGAAUAAUGAAAGAAUGACCUUAAGAUUGAUUUAGGUUUAUUUAAGGAGAGAUAUAUAUAUUAUGAUUUUAUGAUUUAAUUUUCAGAUUAACUAUUUAUAUUUUGGAUGCAAUAGUAUGUUUUCGAUUGAGUAUACUCUUUGGCUCAUUUUUUACAAUGGUCGUUGAGUAUUUCUACUCAUUUAUAUCAAUAAUAUCAUUUUAUUUCCUCUUCA